AUUGAACGCUGGCGGCAGGCUUAACACAUGCAAGUCGAGCGGAUGAAGAGAGCUUGCUCUCUGAUUCAGCGGCGGACGGGUGAGUAAUGCCUAGGAAUCUGCCUGGUAGUGGGGGACAACGUUUCGAAAGGAACGCUAAUACCGCAUACGUCCUACGGGAGAAAGUGGGGGAUCUUCGGACCUCACGCUAUCAGAUGAGCCUAGGUACGAUUAGCUAGUUGGUGAGGUAAAGGCUCACCAAGGCGACGAUCGUUAACUGGUCUGAGAGGAUGAUCAGUCACACUGGAACUGAGACACGGUCCAGACUCCUACGGGAGGCAGCAGUGGGGAAUAUUGGACAAUGGGCGAAAGCCUGAUCCAGCCAUGCCGCGUGUGUGAAGAAGGUCUUCGGUUUGUAAAGCACUUUAAGUUGGGAGGAAGGGCAGUAAGUUAAUACCUUGCUGUUUUGACGUUACCGACAGAAUAAGCACCGGAUAACUUCGUGCCAGCCGCCGCUGUAAAAC
rnacentral:rRNA from 1 species